UUCCGGUUGAUCCCGCCGGACCUGACUGCUAUCGGAUUGAUACUAAGCCAUGCGAGUCUUUGUAGUAAUACAAGGCAUACGGCUCAGUAACGCGUAGUCAACCUACCCUAUGGACAAGAAUAAUCUCGGGAAACUGAGCAUAAUUCUUGAUAGAUCAUAAUGCCUGGAAUGGUUUAUGGUUAAAAUGAUUCGUCGCCAUAGGAUGGGACUGCGGCCUAUCAGCUUGUUGGUGAGGUAAUGGCCCACCAAGGCGAUUACAGGUACGGGCUCUGAGAGGAGAAGCCCGGAGAUGGGUACUGAGACAAGGACCCAGGCCCUAUGGGGCGCAGCAGGCGAGAAAACUUUGCAAUGUGCGAAAGCACGACAAGGUUAGUCCGAGUGAUUUCUGCUAAAGAGAUCUUUUGCUAGUUAUAAAACCACUAGUGAAUAAGGGGUGGGCAAGUUCUGGUGUCAGCCGCCGCGGUAAAACCAGCACCUCAAGUGGUCAGGAUGAUUAUUGGGCCUAAAGCAUCCGUAGCCGGCUCUGUAAGUUUUCGGUUAAAUCUAUACGCUCAACGUAUGGGCUGCCGAAAAUACUGUAGAGAUAGGGAGUGGGAGAGGUAGACGGUACUCGGUAGGAAGGGGUAAAAUCCUUUGAUCUAUCGAUGACCACCUGUGGCGAAGGCGGUCUACCAGAACACGUUCGACGGUGAGGGAUGAAAGCUGGGGGAGCAAACCGGAUUAGAUACCCGGGUAGUCCCAGCUGUAAACGAUGCAGACUCGAUGAUGCAUUGGCAUAUAGCUAGUGCAGUGUCGCAGGGAAGCCGUUAAGUCUGCCGCCUGGGAAGUACGUACGCAAGUAUGAAACUUAAAGGAAUUGGCGGGGGAGCACCACAAGGGGUGAAGCCUGCGGUUCAAUUGGAUUCAACGCCGGG
rnacentral:rRNA from 1 species